AAGAAAUUAGUUUAUAUUAAAAAAAACAUUAAAUUGUCAAUUUAAAAAAUUUGAAUCAACAAAAUUUCUUA
rnacentral:tRNA from 1 species